rnacentral:rRNA from 1 species
UACGUGGGGGGCUAGCGUUGUCCGGAAUCAUUGGGCGUAAAGAGCGUGUAGGCGGCCCGGUAAGUCCGCUGUGAAAGUCGGGGGCUCAACCCUCGAAUGCCGGUGGAUACUGUCGGGCUAGAGUGCGGAAGAGGCGAGUGGAAUUCAUGGUGUAGCAGUGAAAUGCGUAGAGAUCAUGAGGAAGACCAGUGGCGAAGGCGGGUCUCUGGACAGUUCCUGACACUGAGGCACGAAGGCCAGGGGAGCAAACGGG